CCUAAAAAAAAUGACAUAAAAUUGGGAAAGCUUCUGUCUGGUCUCGCCGCCGGCCGGAUGCCUCGUCUUCCGGCCGGCGGGGCUGGCCCACCGCGCACGGUUCCAGUGCGCUCCAGGCACCGAGAUCGGCCAGUUCUGCGCCCUCCUGUCCCGCGUCGAUUCGUGGCAUCAGGAGCAUAAGCAGGGCCAGCCGAAGGAGGACCUUCCCCCGCCACCGGCGAAGCUCCGGGCAGCUACGAGGAAGCGCUGCGGCCAGAUCCGUACCGCAGAAGGACAUUGCCGAGGUAUACGACGGUGCUACCGCGCUGAGGCUGCGAAUGGUGCUGUGUCUACAUCCUUUGACAAUGCUGAUGUGGAGAGCGGGACGGGUGUAUUAGUGGCGGAGCAGGUGGAUGAGUAUGUAGAUACUGAGGAUGAGAUGCCAAUCAGUGGAGACAGAGAAGGGCACUGAGGCCACGGGUGUCUCUGCUGGUUCGGGUCCAGGCAGUGGUUCUUCAUCAUCCAGUGGUAAAACUUCCUACAAUGUUUCCCAUUUGACUCUGUUUACAGGUUCAGGGUCAGGGAGCUGUGGGGACAGCACCUCAGAAGCUGGCAAUGCUCGUUCUCUAGUGUAGAGGAGGUCGUUCUAACAGUAGGAUUUGAGUAGGUGGAUGAUGUGAUUACUUAUUUCUGGGAUGUGCAUGUCGGCUUGGAUUUAGUUUAGCUAGUUCCUAGUGGAUGGAUGGUUUUGUGGGUAAUCUCAUAGCUCAGCUCGACUAUGUCUAUAUAAGUGAAAAGUGGAGGGUACUGAGGCAUGUGGUAGUUCAUUGGGCCUUCUGAUUUGAAUGUGGCUUUUGUAUUGAUGUGUUUUAAUAUAUGCUUAUGGGCGACGUACCUAUGGCAUCAGAGUAAGAAAAUGUUGAAAUCCUAGUUAUCAUC